rnacentral:lncRNA from 1 species
UUUGCUCUUUGUAGUUAAUAUGCUAAUUUCAAUUUAUUUUGUUUUGCUAGCAGUAAAAAUUGUUGAGUGUUGUCUGUGAAGUUUGGAAAUGUAUUGAAUCACUCUAUUUUUGUAUCACAUAAUUAUUCUCUAGAUGAUUUGACAAACUGCGGAUGACAUAUCUUUGUUCCUUGAUCAAAUUGGCAAAGCUAACAAUACAAAAUUAGGGCGUCAAAUUUGGGACAUUUGUAUCUAUAUCUGCUUUUUGGGUCAUGUUUUAACUUGUAUCUGCUUUACAAAAAAACUUACAAGCGUACUCACUUUUUCGUGUAACUUCAACAUACGGGGCUGAAGUAGCAAAGGCAAUCACGCAAAACUUCAGCAUUCUAGUAGACGUUACUGAAGUUUUUGUUUUCGUAACUGGCGAACUUCAGCUGAAGUUUUUGUUUAUGUAACUGGCGAACUUCAACUCUGGAGCUGAAGUUUUUAUUUUUGUAGCUAGCUGGCAAACUUCAGCUCUAGAGCUAAAGUUUUUGUUUUAUAAUUAGCUAAUGGUUUCCGCAAUUUCUGGAAAUAUCUUGCUAUCAGAAGAAAAUCCAACCACUGAGCAAAUACUUUCUACAUCUGAAAUUACAGAGCAAUUAGUUUCUUCCACCAAUGAUGAUGGAGUGUCAACAUUCAUAUCAGCUCUAUUUUCGUUGUUUUUGUUGGCUUAUCCAUUCUCACGAUACGGGUAAUUAAUUAUAAGUUUCUUAAUUUUUCUUUAAUAGCGGAAGUUAUGGUUGUUGUUAAUUGUGAAUUUUUCUUUGUGUGGAUACAGGUUAUAUAUAUAGCGUAACAGAGUAUUUGCAGAAAAAGAAGAAGGAGAAGUUUGAGAAAGAAGAGGCGGAUAUAACUUUGAGGAGGAGAAAGGGGACUAAAAAUGUUUUAAAAGUGGGUACAAGUUAAAAGAUUUUUAAAAAAGUGAAUAUAUGUUAAAUGGGGGCGACCAAGUAGGGUGCCAUUUGCACUUUUUACGUCAAAUUUAGAGUAUAACUUACCCAAAGUCCAUAUUCGGACAAAGUUGGGCUUAAAACAGUUUAUUCAAUGUGAAAUUCAAAAAUAGUAAGUUUUACAAGUGAUAAUUGCAAAAUAGUCAUAGUUUCUGAAAUAAUCGAAAUUUAGUCAUUUUGUUAUGU